rnacentral:tRNA from 1 species
GCCCAGGUGGCGGAAUGGCAGACGCAACGGACUUAAAAUCCGUUGACCUAAUAAGUCGUGGGGGUUCGAGUCCCCCCCCGGGCA